rnacentral:rRNA from 1 species
GUCUGAAGAUGGGGGGACCAUCCUCCAAGGCUAAAUACUCGUAAUCGACCGAUAGUGAACCAGUACCGUGAGGGAAAGGCGAAAAGAACCCCGGGAGGGGAGUGAAAUAGAUCCUGAAACCGCAUGCAUACAAACAGUCGGAGCCUGGAAACGGGUGACGGCGUACCUUUUGUAUAAUGGGUCAGCGACUUACAUUCAGUGGCAAGCUUAACCGAUUAGGGAAGGCGUAGCGAAAGCGAGUCCGAACAGGGCGUUUAGUCGCUUGGUGUAGACCCGAAACCAGAUGAUCUAUCCAUGGCCAGGUGGAAGGUGCGGUAAGACGUACUGGAGGACCGAACCCACUAACGUUGAAAAGUUAGGGGAUGAGCUGUGGAUAGGGGUGAAAGGCUAAACAAAUCUUGAAAUAGCUGGUUCUCUCCGAAAACUAUUUAGGUAGUGCCUCGUGUCUCACC